UUUUUCGCUAUUUCAAAUAGUAAAAGUUCAGACUUCACCGUUUUAAAUGCAAGAGUUUUGUGGUCCUCUGGCGGGGGCUCACCGGCCCCAGGGUAGGGACCAGCGGGGCCAUUACUGGCCGCGCCCCGCCAAAGCAACUAAAGGGUACGUUCACAUAGGGUUGGGAGGUUUGGGGGCCCGAAGGCACCCCAAGCUCUCUUUAAUGAUCCUUCCGCAGGUUCACCUACGGAAA
rnacentral:misc_RNA from 1 species